GAGGGAAAAGCCCAGCACCGAACCUCGCGCUCUCGGGCGUCGCGGAAUGUGGUGUUUAGGAGGACCGUGCGCGUCUGUCCGGUAUCGUCCAAGUCUCCAUGAAUGGGGCCAGCAACCCAGAGAGGGUGUCAGGCCCGUGGGACGAGCCGCGACGGCGUAUUGGGUCUCUCCUUAGAGUCGGGUUGCUUGAGAGUGCAGCCCUAAGCGGGAGGUAAACUCCUUCUAAGGCUAAAUACGGCCACGAGACCGAUAGCGAACAAGUACCGCGAGGGAAAGUUGAAAAGAACUUUGAAGAGAGAGUUCAAUAGUGCGUGAAACCGUUCAGGGGGUUAAACGGGUGGGCCCUCGAAGGUCGAACGGUCCCCAUUCCAGUCAUUCGCAGGCCGGUCCGCGUCGUUUCAUCCGAUCUCGCUACGGGACGGUGCGGCGCGGGUCGCCGGUCUACGAGGGCCGCAAGUUGGGGACCCAGUAGGACUCCGCAACCGUCUGGGAGGCCGUCAGAAGGGUUCCGGUAGAAAGCCCCCUCUGGGGGUGGACUCUGGGAUUUCCGGACGGUCCUCCCGGCCGUAAACCUGCAUUCUCUCGAACGGUGCGUGGGACGAGCCUCGGUUCGCAAGGGCCGGGGUUGUCGGUUUCACAGCCGCUCGGGAGACGCGCGGAGAGUAGAGUCGGGUCCCACCCGACCCGUCUUGAAACACGGACCAAGGAGUCUAACAUGUGCGCGAGUCGUCGGGUUUGACUAAACCCGAAGGCGCAAUGAAAGUGAAGACCGUCCUCGUUGGCGUGUCUAGGGGAGAUCCCGUCCUGCUUCGGUAGCUCGGGCGCAUCCCCGGGGCGUCGAGGCCGCGUUGCCGGCCAGACGAACCAAGAGCGUACACGUUGGGACCCGAAAGAUGGUGACCUAUGCCUGGCCAGGACGAAGCCAGGGGAAACCCUGGUGGAGGUCCGCAGCGAUUCUGACGUGCAAAUCGAUCGUCGGAGUUGGGUAUAGGGGCGAAAGACUAAUCGAACCAUCUAGUAGCUGGUUCCCCCCGAAGUUUCCCUCAGGAUAGCUGGUGCUCGCAGAAAG
rnacentral:rRNA from 1 species